rnacentral:lncRNA from 1 species
CCCCCCGGGGGGUCCCCAAAACCCCUCCCCUCUCCCUGCUGCUGCUGACCACGUUCUCCUCCGCUUCCUGUGACGUCACCCCCUCCAUUUUUGUUAUUUUACCGAUUCUGGUGAUUUUUCUCUGCCCCCCCCCGAGGGGUUUGGGUUCCCAAAUGUUGGUUUUAACCGGGGGGGCCCCUCCCCCCCCCACCGAGGGCUUGUUUUGGGGGUUUUUUGAGGACUCCGGCGUAUUGUAGGACGGAGCCGUCGUCGUCUUCAUCGUCGUCGUCGUCUUCAUCGUCAUCAUCCUCCUCCUCCUCCUGCCCCGGGGGGGCCCUGGCGCUGCCCCCCCCCAGCCGGCUGAACACCCCCGAGGGCUGGGGGGGGGAAGGGGGGGGCCGUCAGCGCCUUCAGGGGCUGCACUUUUCCUUUCUUUCCCUCUCCUUCCUCUUCCUCCCUCUCUUCUCCUUCCCUUUCCUUUCCUCUCCUUCCUUUUAUUUCCUCCCCUUCCCUUCCCUCUCCUUCCUCCUCUUCCUCUCUUUCCUCUCCUUCCUUUUCCUCUCCUUCCUUUUCAUUUCCUCUCCUCCCUUUCCCUCUCCCUCCUUUCCUCUCCUUCCUUUUCCUCCCCUUCCCCUUCCCUCUCCCUUCCCUUUCCCUCCUUCCCCUUUCC